CAUUGACUAGUAUCUUGUCAGCGGCCAGCCGUGUCACUCAGCCAGCAUGCACUGACGGAAAACCAACCCGUUGAGGCGGCCUUUGCAUGGCGAGGCAGCAUCACUGAAGGACAGUGUACAUAUAAUGUGCCAGUGGGUGAGCCAAGUUAUUGCUUCUCCUCACUGGUGGGAGCUACAGCUGGCACUUGUCUUCAAAGUGUGAUCUUCAGUGAAACCAAGAUGGCAUGUUUUUGUCAUCAAGAUUUCUGCGAUGUUGCUCUGAAGAUGCCAAAUAGAAACCAAGACCAAUCUUCAGCAAAUCCAUAGCACACUCCUGAGACUUCUUGGGGCAAUCUUGAUGCAUGAAUAGAAGCAUUGUGGCAACCCCCAAAGAGUAAGUAAAGAUGUUAUUGAUAAAAAUAAGUCAAAGUUAUAGUUUCAUAAAGACAUAAGAUAAUAUAUAAUCUCAAAAAUAGAAGGAUGUUAUAUUCGUGGCAAGAUAAAGGUAGAUGAGGAGUUGAGUAUUAAUUAUGUUGUAAAUAUGAAGUGUUUCCUGAUAUGAAGGCACAGCUUGGCAUAAUCUAUCUGACCUAACCCUACCAGCAAGCCCAAGAAUUUAUUAACAGCUGUGAUUACAUGGAAAUUGGGUAGUUUUUAGCCCUUUUCUAGCUUAUUGCUGGGAGGAAGAGGGAAGGACUUAUCUACAGUAUGUCUUUGAUAGUGGGAAGGAGAGGGGCUAAAAAUAGGUGUGCAAUAUAGUAACAUGUUCGAUUUGUCUUUUUUUCUGCAAGAUUUUAUUUGUAUUGAUGAUAAAAUGCAAAGUCCACUUCACAAUGCCUCAUCAUCAGUAUUCAGUGACCAUACAGUGUUUAGCAUGUAUGUAUAUUGUAUAUCUGUGUACCUCUAAGGGAAGUGUUUAGUAUGCAUACAUGCAAUUUCCUUUUGAGCCAUAUUACAACUUCAGUUUUGUUUGUAUAUUUAAAUUACAAAGGUUUAGUUAGAUUAGAAUGUUAAUAGCUAAAUCAAGACCAUGGAGUUCAUUACGACAAGAGAGUCUGUCUAUUCACAUUUACAGGCUACAUUUAUCGGUAAAACCUGGCAUUGUGUGUGUGACCCGACAAAAUUGUUUCGUCAACCACUUUAUCACUUGUUUUAACAGUAAAUCAGCAUUUUUCAUCUCUGCCCUUUAUACCCAAGACUCCACAGUCACUCUUUAUCUGGAACUUCCAGUGUUGUAGAGUCUGAUAGUACAGUAAUACUCCGGUUAACAAACGUUCGUCUAACGAAUUUCUGGUUUAACGUACUAUAUAAAGUUAGACCAAAAAGUCUGCAUAACGUACAACCACAUCUGUUUUAGCGAAUUUUCUGGGUUUGAAUUUGCCGGGUGAGGGACCGAACACGGCAACUUUGCUGUGAUUGGCUGGCUCCCCGCCUCUGUUUCUAGCGUGUAGCCACUAAACUCUUGUACCACCCGUGGCCCAGUUCACCAUGUAUUAUAUUAUAUAGUGCAAUAUAUCAUUCAUCUUAGCGUUUUACACCACUUGAUAUUGUGUGCAAAUUGUUAAUGAGAAUUAUUCUAUUAGUUGUGAAUAAAUUGUGUCGUACUUGAUAAAUAGUGGUUCCAUGUCAAAACGUUUAUCUGACAUUGGCUCAAAGCUGUAAACCCCUUAUUCACUGUAACUUGGUUGAAUUUAUACCAGAAAUAUGGUGUGCUCUAUGUUUGCACUUUUAAGGGUGCAAAUCCAUAUUUGAAGUGGAACUGCAAAUGUUUGAACAAGUGUAUUAUUCCAAUCUGCGGUUCAACUGGGGAAGAUAAGUCAGUGUGGCUCCGAUAGUGUCAGCUGGAGCUGCAGUGUCCAUUGUCCAGUGUCCCAGUGUGUGCUGUUGAGUGAUUACUUACAGUGUUGUUUACAGUAGAUGUCAUAUAUUAGAAGACCCAGACACUAGGUAGGGACUUUACAUGAAUUAUCAUGUUUCCAUUGUAUUGUCAUUUUCUUCUCUAAAAACUUUGGGAUACUUGGUUAUUAAUAUAUAUAUAUAUAAUUUUUUUAACCCAUGUGGUAUGUUGGGGACCAGCCCAGAAUGCAUUCCCCCUAUUUCCAUUAUUUCCUAUGGGAAAAUGACGUCCGCUUAAUGAAUUUUUGCUCUACGAACAGCUUUGACACCCCCUAUCCUGUUCGUUAAGCAGAGUAUUCCUGUACAGUGCUAAAAUAAUACUAGCCGAGGAAAGGUACCAUUAAUAAGUCUAGGGAAAUGACUCCAAACCAACUUGAAUCCUGUGGUGAAGCAUGCCACACGAACAAACACUACACAGGCUUCUUACCAGCAAUGCCUCCAGUGGCACUUUGGACAAAGCCACUUACAAAGAGUGUCAGGGCCCAGCAAUACCUGGAUGCAGGUUGGUAAUGCAUUGCAACACUGAGUCCUCUGCAGCAGAGGUUGCAGCCCCUCAAACAAUAUUUGAACCUGAGCUCAUCAUCACGUAACGCCCAAAAGCGCCUCUCCCUCCUGAAGGCACGAUUGUUCAAGUAUGCAGAUGUUUUCACUACAGGCAGGCAGAGCAGCAGUAACAGCACUUAUUUAUACACACUUUUGGCCGUGGGGUGAAGCAUGCAUCUGAUUUAUAUUACUAUUCAUAGGAAACACACAAGGCAAUUACUGCUUUAGUUUUAAUAAUAUUAUAUACAAAAAAUUAAAUAAGAAAUAUUAACUUUUUUAUUCAAAUGUAAUACUUCAUGACACUGAUGACAGAAAAGUGACAUGUAGUACAUAGAAGAGUACAGUAUAGAAAGAUAGGGCCACAAAGUAGUACCACAGAUACGGUAUAUACAGCAAACACCUGGUGAAUAUAGAGAAAGCAAAGGCAAAGCUGCACAAUGUGGUAGUACUCCACUAUAUUGCACAGAUAGAAAAUAUGACUAUACAAUUCUGUUCAUAUGAUAUGGUUUUAUUAGUGACAUGUAGUCAUCUUUAUUACUGUGUACUUUUACAUUAUGCAAAUGCUAUUAAUAGUAUGCAAAG